rnacentral:rRNA from 1 species
UUAUUCAAUUAUUUGUGGUUUUUAUUAAAUUAUUAUUUUAUAUUAAUUUUUAUGAUAGUUAACUAGUAUCGUGAGAGAAAUUUGAAAGAUUUUGAAAAUUUAAGUUUUUAAAAGAUUUUUUAGAUUACUGUACCUUGUGUAUCAGGGUUAACUAAAUAAAGGGUAAUAAUUUACUUUUCCCGAAUUAUAAAGAGCUAAAAGUUAAUAUGUUUUAUUGUUUAAUAAUUAUUCAUAAUUAUUUUUUAGUAAUGAAAUGUUAUUCGUUUUUUAAUAUAUCUGGUUUCUUAAGAAAAAAUUUUAAUUUUAUUAUUUUAUAUUGUUAAUUAAUUUUUAAUAUACAAUUUUAAUAUUUUAUAUUUUGAGGGAAAAGCUUCAAUUUAAAUUAUUAUUAGUUUUUAUUUUAAGUAGGAUUGUAGGAUUAAUAAUUUUCUUCAAAUUAAGUUUGUUAUUAUUUACUUAUUGUAGUUAUUAUUUAUAUUUACUAUAGAUAUUUUAUUAAGAUUAAAAAUUUAAUUUAUUUUUUUAUUAAUAAUGGUUAAAUUAGUAUAUUUUACUGUAUUUAUAAAUUCAUUUUAAAAUUAAUUCAAAGGAACUCGGCAAUUAAUUUCUCGCCUGUUUAAUAAAAACAUGUCCUUUUGAUUUUUAUUUUAGGUCUGAUCUGCUCAAUGAUUGGUUUAAAUAGCCGCGAUAUUUUGAUCGUGCAAAGGUAGCAUAAUCAUUAGCUUAUUUAUUGUAAGCUGGAAUGAAUGAUUGGACGAAGAAAAUACUGUCUCUGGUUUAAAUAUAGAAUUUUCUUUUUAAGUUAUAAAGCUUAAUUGUUAUUAAAAGACGAGAAGACCCUAUAGAGUUUGAUAUGUAAAGGUUAAUAAGAUUUUGGUUUUAUAAUUCUUUGUAGUUUAUAUGUAUUUAGUUGGGGUGACGGAGAAAUUGAUAGAACUUUCUUUAUUUUUUAUAUUGAUUAAUAGAUUAUUGAUUUACUUUUAGUAGUUAAAGAUUAAAUUACCUUAGGGAUAACAGCGUUAUUUUUCUUAAGAGUUCAUAUCGAAAGGAAAGAUUGCGACCUCGAUGUUGGAUUAAAAUUAAACUGAGGUGCAGAUGCUUCAGUAUUUAGUCUGUUCGACUAUUUAAAUUUUACAUGAUCUGAGUUUAGACCGGCGUGAGCCAGGUCGGUUUCUAUCUUUAGUAGUUUUAAGCGUUUUAGUACGAAAGGACCAAAUGUUUAAUAUAUUAUUUUUAUCUUGAGUAUAAAU